UCGGGAAUCUUGCACAAUGGGCGAAAGCCUGAUGCAGCAACGCCGUGUGGGCGAGGAAGGUCUUCGGAUCGUAAAGCCCUGUUGUUGGGGACGAAGGGCGAAGGGUUAAUAGCCCCUAGCCUGACGGUACCCUUCGAGGAAGCCCCGGCUAACUACGUGUCAGCAGCCGCGGUAAUACGUAGGGGGCGAGCGUUGUCCGGAAUUAUUGGGCGUAAAGAGCGUGUAGGCGGCCUGGUAAGUCUGCCGUGAAAACUCGGGGCUCAACCCUGAGCGUGCGGUGGAUACUGCUAGGCUAGAGGAUGGUAGAGGCGAGUGGAAUUCCCGGUGUAGCGGUGAAAUGCGCAGAUAUCAGGAGGAACACCAGUGGCGAAGGCGCCGCUCUGGGCCGUAACUGACGCUGAGGAGCGAAAGCAUGGGUAGCAAACAGGAUUAGAUACCCCCGUAGUCC
rnacentral:rRNA from 1 species